rnacentral:rRNA from 1 species
UACGAAGGGGGCUAGCGUUGUUCGGAAUUACUGGGCGUAACGGGCGCGUAGGCUGUGCUGUAAGUCAGGCGUGACAUCCCCGGGCUCAACCUGGGAAUUGCGCAUGAUACUGCGGCGCUUGAAGACGGGAGAGGAUGGCGGAAUUCACAGUGUAGAGGUGAAAUUCGUAGAUAUUGGGAAGAACACCAGUGGCGAAGGCGGCUAACUGGUCCGAUACUGACGCUGAGGUGCGAAAGCGUGGGGAGCAAACAGG